ensembl:lncRNA
UUGCCCGGUGCGCUUUGCCAAGGCCUUUUUAAAGCGUUUACGUGUUUAGAAACGCGUCUGGUGUGUUCGUACCCUAAGAUUUCUCGGUAGCAAGGACUGCACCGCUAACCGAGAAUAAGAGAGUUUAGCGCGAGUAGCUACAACAAAAAGGCUGCUAGUUAACUCUACGACGGGAGCAAGCAAAACAAGUAAUCGUGAAGACGACCCGCAAACUCUACAAGCUGAACAAAAGGAGCGAGUGGUUCCUCAUAUCUACACUGCAUGCAGCAACGAUGACAUCAGAGCUACAACCUCCUUCAUCCACGGACACUCUUCUGUUUGCCUCAUCAACAUCGUAUCCGCUAGUGCAACCCUUUACCCCGAGGACUGAUAACUUCGAUAACUGGAUGAUGAUCAUGAGAAGUGAGGUUGAAUCGGAGCUUCAGCCAUUAGAACACAAAGACAAGGGAAUAUUGUGUUCUGUUCUGGUGAAACCUGUUUGUUUACAUGGCAGUCCAAAGGUCAACCAUCUGUAACCUGUAUAAUCUGCAAAGCAGGAAUUUUUUGACUGCACCGACUGGAGUGUUUUUGAAGCUGCAACUCUCAACCUGGACAAACUGACUGAGGAGGUCAGUGAAAGAGUAUGCUGUUCUCGCGGCUUAGCAAAAUAAUCUGUUUAUUACAAAAAAGGUUUAACCUCGGAAUUUCUAACGCAGUCAGAAAACUUUUUGUGGUUAUCUUCCGCAGUCCUUUGCCACCGUAUCCUUUCGCCGCUGUCCUCUGAAUGGAGCUUCUGGAAGCUCCCAGCCCUGCAGGACACCUACCACACACGAUGCCUCAGGAAAGCUGGCAGGAUCCUAAAGGACUGCUACCACCCAGCUUUCAGACUUUUUACCCCGCUGCCCUCUGGAAGGCGGUACCGUAGCAUCCGGUCUCGCACACGCAGACUGGAGAACAGCUUUUACCCCAGGGCCAUCAGGCUGCUAAAUGGACAUUGAUACUACACCGCCACUUUUGCACUCGUCACUUACAUGCACUGUCACUGUCACUUUCAUAUUACUGUUUGCACUACACUUACAUAUACUGUCACUUCCAACCUACUGCUUGCACUAGCAGUAAUACCUUAUCAGGAAAAUUGCACUACCUGUAACUCCCUCACUGGGUUGUAUGUAGGUUAGUAUAGGUCAAUAGGGUAGCAUAGUUUAUUACAUGUGUAUUAUAUGUUAUAUGUAUAUAUGUUAGUAUUAUAUGUAUAGGCUGCUAUAUGUAUAUUUAGUAUUAUAUGUAUAGGUUGUUAUAUGUUUAGUACACCGUAUUGUAUAUUUAUCUUGUAUAUUUAGUAAGGUUAUUUAUAUGUUUAUUAUGUGUAAAUUAUGUUCAUAGUACUUGUGCAGAGUGUACGUCAUGGUUAUGUUAUGUAUAUUAUGUGUUGUUAUGUUAUGGUAGGUUUGGGCGGCGUCUUGUCGCAAGAAUUUCAGUGCCCAGUCUGACCUUGUGUCUUUUUGUGCAUCUGACAAAUAAAAGACUUGUAACUUGUAACUUGUAACUUCUAACGGUGAAU